rnacentral:misc_RNA from 1 species
GUCGGUGAGCUGGAGCGCUCUAGACCACUGGGACCGUUGUCGGCGAAAUACGUGGACUGUCGCUUGGCAUAGUUGAUUGGUUUCCAAUGAUGGGCGUCGAACGCGAGCGAACGCCCCCCCCGCGGCUGACAUGAUCCUUCAGCAGCGCGUCGUCAAGAAAAAAUCUUCGGGGGACGGUCCGGCCUUAUGCGCUCAUCUUGGCGGCGAGCGCGUCCGAGACCUCGAAAUUC